CCGUCACUCCCUUCCGGAGAGAUUCUCGAUUCCUCGGCGAGAACACCGACACGAUCUGGUGAAUCGAAACCGAUCCCGCAUCAGAUCUAAUCGAGAGAAAAAUUUUGAAUUCUCUUUCCGAAUUCUCUUUCCGAAUGCACGGUGACAUUGGAACGAAGGAGGGGUUUCCUCUGAUUGGCUCGUUUUAGGGUUCCUGCGCAAGAAGAAGAAACGAAAUAUGGACGCGGAGCGAUCGUCGUUGUGCAACUUUGUUGUGAACUUCCUGAUGGAGGAGAACUACCUCUUGACGGCGUUUGAGCUUCUUCACGAGCUCCUCGACGAUGGCCGCGAUGCCCAAGCUAUUCGUCUUAAGGAGUUCUUCUCUGAUCCUUCCCGUUUCCCUCCCGAUCAGAUUUCUCGGUAUAAUUCGAUUCGAGGUUCGCCAAUUCUUCGCCUCGCGUUUGUAAUGUGUACUCGCUGUUGCGGACCCACAAAGUUUGUUGGAGGAGAAAGAAGCGUUAUCGGAGAAGCUAGCUAUCAGUGAAUAUGAAUUUCGUCUAGCACAGGAGGAUAUUACAAGGUUGAAAACUGAAGGACAGAAGAAAUCUGAUUGUUCGGUUGACAAUUUAAAAGAUGAGUUUGGAGACAACAGGCCAGAAAUUCAACGGAAAAAGAAAGAUUUUUUCCUUCACUGAUAUAGGACCUUUGAAGAACAAUGAAUGUCGAGACUUAAACUGUGCAGUUAAAGAAUAUCUUCUUCUAGCAGGUUACAGACUUACCGCAAUGACAUUUUACGAGGAGGUAUCGUAAUCUUAUGUCAACAUGUUUACACCUUUUUGUGCUUACUGAGAUCUCCCUUGUCUAAACUUAUUGUAUCUUGUUCUUAUCUUUGUUUCGGCCCGAUUGACGCAAACACCAUUUUGGAACCUUGAUUAGCCUUUUAUGUUUUUGCCUGUGGCUCACUGCCACUCCCCACCUUGAAUUUUUUAUUUAAAUGAG